CCUACGGGUGGCAGCAGUGAGGAAUAUUGGUCAAUGGACGCAAGUCUGAACCAGCCAUGCCGCGUGCAGGAAGACGGCUCUAUGAGUUGUAAACUGCUUUUGUACGAGGGUAAAUCCCGAUACGUGUAUCUGGUUGAAAGUAUCGUACGAAUAAGGAUCGGCUAACUCCGUGCCAGCAGCCGCGGUAAUACGGAGGAUUCAAGCGUUAUCCGGAUUUAUUGGGUUUAAAGGGUGCGUAGGCGGUUCGUUAAGUUAGAGGUGAAAUCCCGGGGCUCAACUCCGGCACUGCCUCUGAUACUGUCAGGCUAGAGUUUAGUUGCGGUAGGCGGAAUGUAUGGUGUAGCGGUGAAAUGCAUAGAGAUCAUGCAGAACACCGAUUGCGAAGGCAGCUUACCAAACUACGACUGACGUUGAGGCACGAAAGCGUGGGGAGCAAACAGGAUUAGAUACCCGGGUAGUC
rnacentral:rRNA from 1 species